GACGUAGGGGGCCAGCGUUGCUCGGAAUCACUGGGCGUAAAGCGCACGUAGGCGGAUUGUUAAGUCAGGGGUGAAAUCCUGGAGCUCAACUCCAGAACUGCCUUUGAUACUGGCGAUCUUGAGUCCGGGAGAGGUGAGUGGAACUGCGAGUGUAGAGGUGAAAUUCGUAGAUAUUCGCAAGAACACCAGUGGCGAAGGCGGCUCACUGGCCCGGUACUGACGCUGAGGUGCGGAAAGCGUGGGG
rnacentral:rRNA from 1 species